UUGUNGUGUUCAUCACAGAGACACAUGGUCGGGUNUACUGUCUGUCCGACUCGCUCCACUGGGAGAUUGUUUGUGGUUCAAACGUCCCGCAUAUCUGUAUGCGCAACCCCGUUAUGGUAUAGGUUACUACGCAAGAGGACUCUAUUCAGACUGCCGUUGCACAAAACGGAGGAAGGUGGGGAUGACGGUCAAAUCAUCAUAGCCCUUUAUGACUUGUGGCUACACACGUACUACAAUGGCGUUCAACAAAGAGAAGCGAAGCCGCGAGGCAGAGCAAAACUCAAAACACAACGUCCCAGUUCAAUUGCAGGCUGCAACUCGCCUGCAUGAAGUCGGAAUUGCUAGUAAUCGCAGAUCAGCAUGCUGCGGUGAAUACGUUCCCGGGUCUUGUACACUACCGAG
rnacentral:rRNA from 1 species